rnacentral:rRNA from 1 species
ACAUCAGCCGCCGCGGUAAUACGUAGGGUGCGAGCGUUAAUCGGAAUUACUGGGCGUAAAGCGAGCGCAGGCGGUUGUGUAAGACAGGUGUGAAAUCCCCGGGCUUAACCUGGGAACUGCGCUUGUGACUGCACAGCUAGAGUAUGGCAGAGGUGGGUGGAAUUCCACGUGUAGCAGAGAAAUGCGUAGAGAUGUGGAGGAACACCGAUGGCAAAGGCAGCCCCCUGGGCCAAUACUGACGCUCAUGCACGAAAGCGUGGGGAGCAAACAGGAUUAGAGACCCCUGUAGUCCCUGUCUCUUAUAC